rnacentral:rRNA from 1 species
AACGAACGCUGGCGGCAGGCCUAACACAUGCAAGUCGAGCGAAGCCUUCGGGCUUAGCGGCGGACGGGUGAGUAACGCGUGGGAACGUGCCCUUUGCUACGGAAUAGCCCCGGGAAACUGGGAGUAAUACCGUAUGUGCCCUUCGGGGGAAAGAUUUAUCGGCAAAGGAUCGGCCCGCGUUGGAUUAGGUAGUCGGUGGGGUAAUGGCCUACCAAGCCGACGAUCCAUAGCUGGUUUGAGAGGAUGAUCAGCCACACUGGGACUGAGACACGGCCCAGACUCCUACGGGAGGCAGCAGUGGGGAAUCUUAGACAAUGGGGGAAACCCUGAUCUAGCCAUGCCGCGUGAUCGAUGAAGGCCUUAGGGUUGUAAAGAUCUUUCAGUGGGGAAGAUAAUGACUGUACCCACAGAAGAAGCCCCGGCUAACUCCGUGCCAGCCGCCGCGGUAAAAC